rnacentral:rRNA from 1 species
UUGACCUCGGAUCAGGUAGGGAUACCCGCUGAACUUAAGCAUAUCAAUAAGCGGAGGAAAAGAAACCAACAGGGAUUGCCCUAGUAACGGCGAGUGAAGCGGCAACAGCUCAAAUUUGAAAUCUGGCUCUUUUAGAGUCCGAGUUGUAAUUUGCAGAGGGCGCUUUGGCUUUGGCAGCGGUCCAAGUUCCUUGGAACAGGACGUCACAGAGGGUGAGAAUCCCGUACGUGGUCGCUGGCUAUUGCCGUGUAAAGCCCCUUCGACGAGUCGAGUUGUUUGGGAAUGCAGCUCUAAAUGGGAGGUACAUUUCUUCUAAAGCUAAAUAUUGGCCAGAGACCGAUAGCGCACAAGUAGAGUGAUCGAAAGAUGAAAAGCACUUUGGAAAGAGAGUCAAACAGCACGUGAAAUUGUUGAAAGGGAAGCGCUUGCAGCCAGACUUGCUUACAGUUGCUCAUCCGGGUUUCUACCCGGUGCACUCUUCUGUAGGCAGGCCAGCAUCAGUUUGGGCGGUAGGAUAAAGGUCUCUGUCACGUACCUCCUUUCGGGGAGGCCUUAUAGGGGAGACGACAUACUACCAGCCUGGACUGAGGUCCGCGCA